CGGGCUGGUUCUUUAUAGUUGAGUGUUCAUUUACGCUGAAUUAGUCAUCGUGCGAUUCGGUGCGGUCUGA
rnacentral:tRNA from 1 species